rnacentral:rRNA from 1 species
GAGUGGCGAACUGGUGAGUAACACGUGGGAAACCUGCCCAGAAGCGGGGGAUAACACCUGGAAACAGAUGCUAAUACCGCAUAACAACUUGGACCGCAUGGUCCGAGUUUGAAAGAUGGCUUCGGCUAUCACUUUUGGAUGGUCCCGCGGCGUAUUAGCUAGAUGGUGGGGUAACGGCUCACCAUGGCAAUGAUACGUAGCCGACCUGAGAGGGUAAUCGGCCACAUUGGGACUGAGACACGGCCCAAACUCCUACGGGAGGCAGCAGUAGGGAAUCUUCCACAAUGGACGAAAGUCUGAUGGAGCAACGCCGCGUGAGUGAAGAAGGGUUUCGGCUCGUAAAACUCUGUUGUUAAAGAAGAACAUAUCUGAGAGUAACUGUUCAGGUAUUGACGGUAUUUAACCAGAAAGCCACGGCUAACUACGUGCCAGCAGCCGCGGUAAUACGUAGGUGGCAAGCGUUGUCCGGAUUUAUUGGGCGUAAAGCGAGCGCAGGCGGUUUUUUAAGUCUGAUGUGAAAGCCUUCGGCUCAACCGAAGAAGUGCAUCGGAAACUGGGAAACUUGAGUGCAGAAGAGGACAGUGGAACUCCAUGUGUAGCGGUGAAAUGCGUAGAUAUAUGGAAGAACACCAGUGGCGAAGGCGGCUGUCUGGUCUGUAACUGACGCUGAGGCUCGAAAGUAUGGGUAGCAAACAGGAUUAGAUACCCUGGUAGUCCAUACCGUAAACGAUGAAUGCUAAGUGUUGGAGGGUUUCCGCCCUUCAGUGCUGCAGCUAACGCAUUAAGCAUUCCGCCUGGGGAGUACGGCCGCAAGGCUGAAACUCAAAGGAAUUGACGGGGGCCCGCACAAGCGGUGGAGCAUGUGGUUUAAUUCGAAGCUACGCGAAGAACCUUACCAGGUCUUGACAUACUAUGCAAAUCUAAGAGAUUAGACGUUCCCUUCGGGGACAUGGAUACAGGUGGUGCAUGGUUGUCGUCAGCUCGUGUCGUGAGAUGUUGGGUUAAGUCCCGCAACGAGCGCAACCCUUAUUAUCAGUUGCCAGCAUUAAGUUGGGCACUCUGGUGAGACUGCCGGUGACAAACCGGAGGAAGGUGGGGAUGACGUCAAAUCAUCAUGCCCCUUAUGACCUGGGCUACACACGUGCUACAAUGGAUGGUACAACGAGUUGCGAACUCGCGAGAGUAAGCUAAUCUCUUAAAGCCAUUCUCAGUUCGGAUUGUAGGCUGCAACUCGCCUACAUGAAGUCGGAAUCGCUAGUAAUCGCGGAUCAGCAUGCCGCGGUGAAUACGUUCCCGGGCCUUGUACACACCGCCCGUCACACCAUGAGAGUUUGUAACACCCAAAGUCGGUGGGGUAACCUUUUAGGAACCAGCCGCCUAAGGUGGGACAGAUGAUU